rnacentral:sRNA from 1 species
GAAAUGACCAUAAUAUCUGUCAUCUCACUGAUCGCUAGGGUUGAUCCGGCUUAUCUGGCUGGCCAGGCGGUGUCCCCUUCCU